GUUGUUGCUGCAAAAUCUGGGCUGCAGAUUUGGUAAAGCUUUGCAUCCUCUUUCACUUUUUCUUGAAAAAAAAUAGAAUCCAUAGAUUGAUUCACA